ensembl:lncRNA
CGAGGCCUCCGGACUUGUGGAAAUCUUUGACCAGUUGUCUGAAGACGUCAUGUUGAACUGCACAGUAGCAGCAAAUCCACCCCCCUGGUAUACCUGGCACUCAACAAAUAUGAAAAAGGAAUUUAAUCAGGGCCUGCCACUCCUGUUUUCAUCUUCUUUGAGUUCAGGGAACUACACUUGCACUGCCUCAAACAUCAUCGGCACCGUCAGCAAACUGUUCAUCGUCAAAGCCAAACCUGAAGGUGGCAAACGCUCCACUUUCUGGGCUAUUGUAGGAGCCUUUGUUGGGUUGGCCGUGGUGUUGAUAGUUAGCUAUAUACUCAAAAUGAGGAUUGGCUAGAGUUGGAGCCUUCUCAAAGACAUGUUAACCAUUUUUCUGAGUGUGAGCCAACUCUAGGAGUGUACACUGAGGAAGAUUCCUGGUUCUUCAGAAGAUCCUGCAAAGAGUUCAAUUUACUACUUUAGAGAAAAUCUUCAAGCUCAGACCCUACUGAGUUUCAUUCCACAGUGGUAAUGUUAAAGUGCAGAAAUGAGCACGACUCUUUUCCUUCAUACAUCUGUGGUCAGUCAGACCCCAAAGCGCCAUAUUUCUGCUGUGAAUGUACCUCACCCAGUCAGGUAAACAGUACCACUUUAGAGAAAUGUUGUGUUUAUGUUUUUAUCUUAUUUAUCUUUUCUGGAGACAUUUAUUAAGCAUGUGCAACUUAUUGUGGUUAUCACCUGUUUAAGAACAGCUAAAUGGUGUGACAUUUCACUAAUACUUGCUUUUUGUUCAAUAUAAUUACAGUCCAAUAUAGUCGUAAUUUAAUCAUUAAUUCACAUUAUUAUUUUUUGUUGUCAGCACUGAGUUGCACAUAAUGAAUGAACCUCUUGCAGCAGUUCAGAGCAGUGCACUUUUAAAUGCCACUGAGACUGUUAAAAAUGCUUCAUUUGGUAAACCUGUUCUACUGCAUUUGAGGGACUUCAGCUUUUAACUGAUUAACUAAAAUGCUAAUUAGGUAUUAGGAAUAUUUUAUUAAAUAAGUGGAUCAUGUGUUUAAUCAAUGAACUACUCUGUUCAGUUUAAUUAUAAUUAGUUCAUUAAAAUCACUCAACUUAUUUAAUAAACAAGGUGAUAACUGGUGAGAAAGCAGGGUUUAAUGAAACAUUAUAACUAAUUAAGCUAUUUACAUCACUGUCUCUUCCAUAACCUCAUUGUCAUUGCCUGUCUCAUGUGAUAGAUUAUUGUUUUUAUAGCUUUUUCUAAAAUGAUUCUUUAUUACCUUUCUCAUAAAAGGUUAUCUGGAUGUUUGGAUGUUUUGGGACUUUGCCUAAUGAUUGUGUUUAUUCAUUUAGUUACAAUACUCAUAGACCAGAUGAUUCAACUGACCUACAAAUGAGUCCUAUAUUUUAUAAAAUUCAAAGUCUUUCAACCCAGCAAAUGUACAACUGUAUUAAGAUAUAUUUGAUUUUGUAGAUUUUCAAGGUGUAUCAGACAUUGUCUUUUUUUUUUUUUUAAGUGCUUUAUUCUCCCUUGUGUACUCAACAAACAUGGUGUUUGUGUGCGGUUGUCAUACAUCAUGUCUCCUUUCUGGGACAUGUCGACUCUCCCAAGGUUUACCCAUGACAGCAGCAAAGUCUCUCCAAUGUUCUCAGCUGGGAGGAUUAUCUCUGGAACAGUUAUCAGUGACUAGUGGGGACCACUAGUGUGACAAGUACGCUUGCAUAAUGCUUUACUUUUUCUUCUCUGUUGUUUUUUUUUCAUUUUGCAGUCAUCAGACUGAAUGAAAGAUCUGUAUCCAUGGAGAUGUGUUGCAUAAAACGUACGAAUGUCUGAA